rnacentral:tRNA from 1 species
GCAGACUGUAAAUUUGUUGAAAUAAUUUUUACGUAGGUCCAAAUCCUACUUUCUCC